UGGUUCCUGAUGGGAUUCAAACCAACAAUCUUUGGCUCCAGAGGUCAACACUUUAUCCUUUGAGCCACAGGAUC